UACGUAGGGUGCAAGCGUUGUCCGGAAUCAUUGGGCGUAAAGCGCGCGUAGGUGGCUUCGUAAGUCCGUUGUGAAAGUCAAAGGCUCAACCUUUGAAUGCCGAUGGAUACUGCGAAGCUAGAGUACGGAAGAGGCGAGUGGAAUUCCUGGUGUAGCGGUGGAAUGCGUAGAGAUCCGGAAGAACACCGGUGGCGAAGGCGGCUCGCUGGGCAGUGGCUGACGCUGAGGCGCGACAGCGUGGGGAGCAAACAGG
rnacentral:rRNA from 1 species